UAGGGAAUCUUCGGCAAUGGGGGGAACCCUGACCGAGCAACGCCGCGUGAGUGAAGAAGGUUUUCGGAUCGUAAAGCUCUGUUGUUAAGGAAGAACGAGUGUGAGAAUGGAAAGUUCAUGCUGUGACGGUACUUAACCAGAAAGGGACGGCUAACUACGUGCCAGCAGCCGCGGUAAUACGUAGGUCCCGAGCGUUGUCCGGAAUUAUUGGGCGUAAAGCGCGCGCAGGUGGUUUAGAAAGUCUGAUGUGAAAGCCCACGGCUCAACCGUGGAGGGUCAUUGGAAACUAAUAAACUUGAGUGCAGGAGAGAAAAGUGGAAUUCCUAGUGUAGCGGUGAAAUGCGUAGAGAUUAGGAGGAACACCGGUGGCGAAAGCGGCUUUUUGGCCUGCAACUGACACUGAGGCGCGAAAGCGUGGGGAGCAAACAGG
rnacentral:rRNA from 1 species